rnacentral:rRNA from 1 species
UACGUAGGGUGCGAGCGUUAAUCGGAUUUACUGGGCGUAAAGCGUGCGUAGGCGGUCCCCAAGUCCGCUGUGAAAGCCCCGGGCUUAACCUGGGAAUGGCAGUGGAAACUAUGGGACUUGAAUCUGGCAGAGGGGGUGGAAUGGCCACGUGGUAGCAGUGAAAUGCGUAGAGAUGUGGCGGAACACCGAUGGCGAAGGCAGCCCCCUGGGCUGAGAUUGACGCUCAGGCACGAAAGCGUGGGGAGCAAACGGG